CAUCACCUAUUUUAGCCAUCUCCCCACCAAUCUCCUCUCUGCAUCACAGAUGAAAAGCUCUUGGAUACCUGACUUACCAUGGAGAGUCUGCCUGACUCAUCACACUGGACUAUGACUAGAUUCAUGAGACUGUACUGGCUAAUCACAGACAACACUUACCGAUGGCUGCUCCAGGCCAAGCCUUUUUCUAAGCCCUUUACAUCCAUUAAUGACUCAGUAUCACAUCCUCAUGAGGGAGAACAGCCCGGGAAGUGAAUGUUCUUUCUGCUGUCUUGAGUGCUAGUUCCUACAAGUGUCUGCAUGCUGACUCCUGGAAACCAAGAAUCACCUACUACUGGCCCAAA